CUGCUCAGCCUGCUGCCACUGCAACUCGUUUUUAGGCAGAGGAUAUUGGAUAGAUCAAUGGACUGAUAGUUUAUUACUGAUCGCACAUACAUCCGGGGUCACAAUGGUACCAACAGGCAGCUGUGCUGGAGGCAGUCCAGAGGUGGACUGAGAGGAGGCUCUUUAAGGGAAGUCUGAGUUCAUUUAAAUGAGAUAAGGAUUUUCAUUUGAUCACAUCUUCUAUUUUAGCAGUGUUGUGCCAUGUUUAGUGAACAUUUAUUGCACCUUGUUUCUUUUUACUACGAUACAAUGGGUGGAAACCAUGCUAAUCCUACCACUGCUUGUAGGAUUAAGUGUGGGAUUUGUUAAGGCCUGACUGAAGACCCUCUGACAUAUCAUGUUUCAAGUUAGGAAUGAGAGGAAACAAAAAUGACAAAAUAGGAAUUACAAAAAUAGGAAUAUCUAGAAUCCCUUUCUGUUUUUAUUUGUUUGUGAUGGGACUGUGUUUUAAACCUGUCUACAGAAAGGGAAGAAAAGUAUUUAUCACCCUGCAAAUCGCAUAUGUAGCGUGUCAUUUUUUUUUUACCUGCUAUGUCUGUUAACUCCUUUCACUAAUUGUCUUAAGAUGGACAGAACCCAGGCAGGUAUUGCCACAUGAAGUUCAUCCACGGACUUAACUGAACCCACCCACUGUGCCGUGAUUAAAGGCGGUCAUUUCUGUGAUGGGUCACAUCAACAUCUGCCUGCUUUUCCUUGCUUGCCUCUACCCCUCCUGCUCUCUUUAUCCUUCACCAUGUAUGGCUUAAAUUACAAAGAUUUCAGCCAGUAGUGACUCAUGUCAAGAAAAUGCACUUCUGUCUCUCAUUUUUUUCUUUUGUUUGUUUUGGGUUUUUUGUUUUUUUGUUUUUUCAAAUGUAUUAAUGCCUUUCAAUCACACUCACUCUCCAUUUGUCUCAGUGUACUCUUUUUCAUUUCAGGACAUUUCCACUUCUUUCUUAAAACACCCUUUUGUCAUGGAUUUGGAGUGCCACAUCAUAUGCUACAGCAAGUACUACAGUGCAUCUUGACAGAGUGUGGCAGCACACAUCCUCUUCCCAUUUGCUAGACCCUCACCCCCCAAAGACCACUGCAAGCCUCAGAUCCAAGCCCAGAAAGAGAGAGUUGGGAAACACUUGGGGUUGUAGAGAGGCAAGGAUCGGAAGAAAAUGGAGCUGAGGGAGAUGGAUGGACAUGAGUUGCGUGGAUGAGGAGGGAGAGAAAAACGGGAGCACAAUUAGUCAUCGAUUUCAAAGACAGCGUAUAAUAAAACAUUUCCCCCUUAGGUAAACCGCCCACGCUUUGCUCAGUGAAUAAGGCGAAAAGAAUGCACGAAAGCCCACUCACCGCCGAGCGGCUCGCCCCCCCUCACUUAUGCUGGCGCUCUCUCGCUCUCUCUC
ensembl:lncRNA